UACAGAGACUGCAAGCGUUAUUCGGAUUCACUGGGCGUAAAGGGUGCGCAGGCGGCCAAGUGUGUGAGGCGUGAAAGCCUGGGGCUUAACUCCAGAAUUGCACCUCAAACUACUUGGCUAGAGCAUUGGAGAGGGUAGCAGAAUUCAUGGUGUAGCAGUGAAAUGCGUAGAUAUCAUGAGGAAUACCAGAGGCGAAGGCGGCUACCUGGACCGGCAUUGACGCUGAGGCGCGAAAGCCAGGGGAGCAAACGGGG
rnacentral:rRNA from 1 species